rnacentral:rRNA from 1 species
GUGUGUUAGUGGAAGCGUCUGGAAAGGCGCGCGAUACAGGGUGACAGCCCCGUACACAAAAGUGCAUGUGCUGUGAGCUCGAUGAGUAGGGCGGGACACGUGGUAUCCUGUCUGAAUAUGGGGGGACCAUCCUCCAAGGCUAAAUACUCCUGACUGACCGAUAGUGAACCAGUACCGUGAGGGAAAGGCGAAAAGAACCCCGGCGAGGGGAGUGAAAAAGAACCUGAAACCGUGUACGUACAAGCAGUGGGAGCACAGGUUUACCUGUGUGACUGCGUACCUUUUGUAUAAUGGGUCAGCGACUUAUAUUCUGUAGCAAGGUUAACCGUAUAGGGGAGCCGUAGGGAAACCGAGUCUUAACCGGGCGUUAAGUUGCAGGGUAUAGACCCGAAACCCGGUGAUCUAGCCAUGGGCAGGUUGAAGGUUGGGUAACACUAACUGGAGGACCGAACCGACUAAUGUUGAAAAAUUAGCGGAUGACCUGUGGCUGGGGGUGAAAGGCCAAUCAAACCGGGAGAUAGCUGGUUCUCCCCGAAAGCUAUUUAGGUAGCGCCUCGUGAACUCAUCUCCGGGGGUAGAGCACUGUUUCGGCUAGGGGGCCAUCCCGGCUUACCAACCCGAUGCAAACUGCGAAUACCGGAGAAUGUUAUCACGGGAGACACACGGCGGGUGCUAACGUCCGUCGUGAAGAGGGAAACAACCCAGACCGCCAGCUAAGGUCCCAAAGUCAUGGUUAAGUGGGAAACGAUGUGGGAAGGCCCAGACAGCCAGGAUGUUGGCUUAGAAGCAGCCAUCAUUUAAAGAAAGCGUAAUAGCUCACUGGUCGAGUCGGCCUGCGCGGAAGAUGUAACGGGGCUAAACCAU